UUGAGCCGUAUGCGGGGAAACUCGCACGUACGGUUCUUAGGGGGCGGUGGCGCAGUAAUGCGCCUCUGCUACCCGAC
rnacentral:ncRNA from 1 species